CCUACGGGUGGCAGCAGUGGGGAAUAUUGGACAAUGGGGGCAACCCUGAUCCAGCCAUGCCGCGUGUGUGAAGAAGGCCCUCGGGUUGUAAAGCACUUUCAGUGAGGAAGAACGCCUGGUGGUUAAUACCCAUCAGGAAAGACAUCACUCACAGAAGAAGCACCGGCUAACUCCGUGCCAGCAGCCGCGGUAAUACGGAGGGUGCGAGCGUUAAUCGGAAUUACUGGGCGUAAAGCGCGCGUAGGUGGCUUGAUAAGCCGGUUGUGAAAGCCCCGGGCUCAACCUGGGAACGGCAUCCGGAACUGUCAAGCUAGAGAGCAGGAGAGGAAGGUAGAAUUCCCGGUGUAGCGGUGAAAUGCGUAGAGAUCGGGCGGAAUACCAGUGGCGAAGGCGGCCUUCUGGACUGACACUGACACUGAGGUGCGAAAGCGUGGGUAGCACACAGGCUUAGAUACACGGGUAGUA
rnacentral:rRNA from 1 species